GAAGCCGUAGAACGAAGAAGAAGAAGAAGAUUGAAAGUUAUGGCUCCGGCUGGUACCGUCUCCCCAAGCUCAAUUGCAGGCGUGCAUACUACCUGAGUUGUAGGAAAGAGUUUGCUCCCGCACCUGCUCUAGGGACGUCUGUUUUACUGGUCAUGCAAUUUCUGUUGGAUCUCUUCUUGUUGCACCCUUGGUUUCAAUGCUCUAUUUUGUUUGAGCAACUUUUGCAAAGUUUUUGGGGUAAAGAGAAGAGGAUAGGAGUGGAUUUGUUCGCUAAUUAUGGGAAUGGUUUGAGUCGAGACCAAUGGCGGCAGCAGAAAUUGAAGAUGAGAUUGUGGGAUCACAUUUCGAUGGAGUUAUGAAUUGCGCGCACAUGAGAAAUGUUUGUAGCUCUCUUGUUCCAGUAGCUCUGUCUCCGUAGUUUUUGGCAUGAGAAAUGUCUGUAUCCGUGUCGAGUUAUAAGCUUGAUUUGUCUGUAUCCGUGUCGGUCCAAAUUAGUUUGGGGCACAUAAUGAGAGAAGUGUUUUGAUUAAUUCUUGUGGGGACAUCCAGAGCUCACUAAUCUGUUAAAGCAUGGAUGAAAUUUUGAUGUUUUGAUGUUUGAAUUGGAUGAAAUUUUGCCCUCAUCAAAGGGGAGAAAUAUUGGGGCAGCACAAUCAAUGGAAUAGGUUGUCUUUUGUUUCUUAAUUUUUUGGUCUGGUCUUUUGGGGUUAUUUAUUCUGGAAUCAAUGAAUUGUAAGAAAUGUAAUUUUAUGAAUACAUUCUUGUUGGUGGAAACUAUUUGGGAAGAAUUGUAAUUUGAACACAUUCUUGUGGGUGGAAA